CCCCCGACAAUCCGCUCAGGAAAAGAAACGGCCCGAGGCUGAAUCUAGUUGAUGAUUCCUGACAGUAAUUAAUGCACACGGACUUCUAUGGACACAUCCAACACUAAUAUACCUUAAGAAUCCUACCGGGACCAAGGACAACAUCCAGCACUCAUUUCACAACCACAUGUGGGUUGUCAUCUUGACCCACCUGGAGUGGAUGAUUAAGAGCAGGGCACAGCUGUGUGGAGAUACGAAGUAGAACAGAGGCUAGCUUGAGUAGCAUCGACAACUCUAUCAACAGAAAGGAGUAACAAAACUGGCGCAAUCACCUGUUUGUACGCUAUGUUCCCAUUAUGAUGUCACACACCUGCUAAACUGACACGUAGACAACGGCUAUAAAAGCUGAGACCCAACUCUUGUCGUUGGGCUCUUAAC